rnacentral:rRNA from 1 species
UACGAGGGGGAGCAAGCGUUGUUCGGAUUUACUGGGCGUAAAGGGCGCGUAGGCGGUCAGCACAAGUCAGUUGUGAAAUCUCCGGGCUUAACUCGGAAAGGUCAACUGAUACUGUGCGACUAGAGUGCAGAAGGGGCAACUGGAAUUCUCGGUGUAGCGGUGAAAUGCGUAGAUAUCGAGAGGAACACCUGCGGCGAAGGCGGGUUGCUGGGCUGACACUGACGCUGAUGCGCGAAAGCCAGGGGAGCGAACGGGG